UUGCUUGUAGCUGUUUUGAAAAACCUUGAAGCACCUUGACAGAGGAAAAAACCUCAGAGGGGGUUUAAAAACACUGUAAAAUUCACUUCUCCCAAUUUACAUAAUUAAGGUGGUGACAGUAUCAGGCCACUUUGAUUUGCAUAAAACCGUAAUUAGUUAUAAGAUUUAGGCUUUAUAUAAGUAGAAAGUAGUGUAAAAACAGAGAAUUCAACAUGGCAGACAAAAUGGCGGUGACAGGGAUGACAUAGUUUAAAUUUAGAGAGUGGAAAAUUCCAGAAGUUUCCAGCAACUCAGGGGAAGGAGCUCUACCCAAGAUGAUGUCAGGAGGAGGAGCUCUGUAUCUAAAAAUAGGUAUGACAUAAUGGGGAGGAGCUAGAAAAGCUAGAACCUGAUUAGCUGAGAUGAGCUGACCUUGAGAGAGCAACUAGUAUAUAAGGCCAACAGCUAGCAGGCUGGAAGUGUGGGGGUUUGAGAGGUUGUGAAGAUCAGAAGCCUCAAGCAGCAACCAGAACAGCAGCAGCUAAGACAACUGCAGCAGCAUCUUAAGAAGAUUCCGGAAAACAGUUACCCAGAAAAACAGCAGCAGAAUUCUAAAGGCCUGGCAACGACUUUUAUAGCAGUGCAAUCAGCAGCAACUGCCUGCAGCAACAGCCAACAGCUGCCGCUACACCUGCAGCAGCAGCAACCAUCAUCUCCAGGUGCUGACAACAUCAUCUCCAGAUACUGACAGAGCAGAAGGGCCCCUGAGACGAGUCAGAGGGAAUUAAGAAGAUAAAGCAAGAAGCCACAGAAGCACUGGAAGCAUUAUCCUGAGAGAAAAAGGAGAGAGAGAUUUUUGAGCAGAGUGCUGGCUGGAAAGGCAGGCCUGGAACUAUGGAAACAAUGCACCAGACCCUGAAAAUGGACUAACUGCCUGGAUCAAAAGAGAUAACAAUACAUUAUCUGGAAGAGGAAGUAAAGAGACUAUCAUGUUGAAGAUGAUACUGACUUUGGUUCUGCUCCUAUAAUUCACUAUAUACAGGCAUGCUGCUGCAUCUGCAAAGAGCCCUCAUUGAAGCCAUCAGGGUUUCAAGAGGGCAGAGCAGUGAAUUGCAGGAUUGGCCCCUUAGUAUUGUCACUAGUAUUCAUUUUAUUACAAUAACAACUAAAAUAUGCUAGUGUUGUACAAAUCUAUAGGGAGAGAUAUAGUCCUUGUAACAAGGAGCUAGAUGGGGAGAUGUUCGUCAGUGAGAUAUGUCAAAUUGUGAGGUGAACAUCAUGAAGACUGAGAGAUACAAAGAAAUCUAAAAAGGUCAGAAAUGUGGUCACAAAGUAAGAAUCAAUUUGAAAAAUUAUUAACUCAUGUGGGGCAGGGGAUAACAAUUGUAAAAAAGACACACGGUUUUAAAUUUGCUAUUUGACUGCAAGGAUAGCACAGCCUGAUAAUGGCCUCUUGCAUUUUCACUUUUCCUCAGCAUGUGUUUAUAUCUGGAACAAAUGGGCUACAAUCCUGAUUAUGGGCUGUGGGCAUUACCAUAAUAUAAAUAAUAAUAUUCCCUAGAGACAGAAAGUGCUUUCAUGGAAGGGAGCUAUGUCAUGGAGCAGGGACAUGAUAGUCCCUCUUAGUAGACUCAAUAAUGUGGGGAAUGGACAACCUUCAAUUCCCAUUGCAUUGUAGAAGUACACCUAAAAUGCUGUUUAGUUCUCAGUACCUCAAUACCAAAAGACAGAUAAGUGGGAGGGAUA